UUGCUUCUGCAGCACACAUACUAAAAUUGGAGUUGUGGAGAUUAGCAUAUCCCCUUUGCAAGGGCGACAUGCAAAUUCAUGAAGCAUACCAUAUUUUU
ensembl:snRNA U6 U6 spliceosomal RNA